CACAUGCAAGUCGAGGGGCAGCAUGUCCAGCAAUGGAUGAUGGCGACCGGCGGAAGGGUGCGUAACGCGUGAGCAACAUGCCCUAUACAGGGAGAUACACCAGGGAAACUUGGUCUAAUAUCCCAUAGCAUUCAUUGAAGGCAUCUUUAAUGAAUUAAAGCUUCGGUGGUAUAGGAUUGGCUCGCGUGACAUUAGCCAGAUGGUGAGGUAACGGCUCACCAUAGCAAUGAUGUCUAGGGGUUUUGAGAGGAAGGCCCCCCACACUGGGACUGAGACACGGCCCAGACUCCUACGGGAGGCAGCAGUGAGGAAUAUUGGACAAUGGAUGGAAAUCUGAUCCAGCCAUGCCGCGUGCAGGAAGACGGCCUUAUGGGUUGUAAACUGCUUUUAUACGGGAGCAAUAAGGGUUACGAGUAAUCCGAUGAGAGUACUGUAUGAAUAAGGAUCGGCUAACUCCGUGCCAGCAGCCGCGGUAAUACGGAGGAUCCGAGCGUUAUCCGGAAUUAUUGGGUUUAAAGGGUGCGUAGGCGGCCAUUUAAGUCAGCGGUGAAAUUUUGCAGCUUAACUGUAACAGUGCCGUUGAUACUGUUUGGCUAGGAUUUGGUUGUAGUGUGCGGAAUGUGUGGUGUAGCGGUGAAAUGCUUAGAUAUCACACAGAACACCGAUUGCGAAGGCAGCACACUAAGUCAUUAUUGACGCUGAGGCACGAAAGUGUGGGGAUCAAACAGGAUUAGAUACCCUGGUAGUCCACACUGUAAACGAUGAUAACUCGCUGUCGGCGAUACACAGUCGGGGCCAAGCGAAAGC
rnacentral:rRNA from 1 species